GACGAACGCUGGCGGCGUGCCUAACACAUGCAAGUCGAACGGUAACGCAGGAGCUUGUUGCUCUGGAUGAGUUGCGAACGGGUGAGUAACGCGUAGGUAACCUGCCCGGUAGUGUGGGAUAACUUUAGGAAACGAUAGCUAAUACCGCAUAGGAGUAGAUGUUGCAUGGCAUUCAGUUGAAAGUUGCAACUGCCUCACUACCAGUUGCAGCUGCCUUGUUUUAGCUUGUUGGUGGGGUAGCGGCUUACCAAGGCGGCGAUGCAUAGCCGGCCUGAGAGGGAGGACGGCCAAACUGGGACUGGGACCCGGCCCAGGCGGCCUCGGGGAGGAGCCAGAGGGGAACUUCGGCAAUGGGCGGAAAGCUGGCCGCACAACGCCGGGGGAGUGAAGAAGGUUGUCGGGUCUGAAAGGUCUGUUUUAUGGGAAGAAAAAGUGUGAGAGUGGAACGUUGACGCUGUGACGGUAUCUUACCAAAAAGCAACGGCUAACUACGUG
rnacentral:rRNA from 1 species